CCUACGGGAAGCAGCAGUGGGGGAUAUUGCACAAUGGGGGAAACCCUGAUGCAGCGACGCCGCGUGUGGGAAGACGGUCCUCUGGAUUGUAAACCACUUUCUCCAGGGACGACGAUGACGGUACCUGGGGAGGAAGCUCCGGCUAACUACGUGCCAGCAGACGCGGUCAUACGUAGGGGGCGAGCGUUUUCCGGAAUUACUGGGUGUAAAGGGAGCGUAGGCGGGGAUGCAAGUUUGCUGUCAAAACUACCGGCUCAACUGGUAGUCGAACUCAAAACUGCAGCUCUUGAGUGAAGUAGAGGCAGGCGGAAUUCCUAGUGUAGCGGUGAAAUGCGUAGAUAUUAGGAGGAACACCAGUGGCGAAGGCGGCCUGCUGGGCUUUUACUGACGCUGAGGCUCGAAAGUGUGGGGAGCAAACAGGAUUAGAUACCCUGGUAGUC
rnacentral:rRNA from 1 species